rnacentral:lncRNA from 1 species
AUGGAUGAGAGUUCUUCCAGAACCAGUGAAUUCCUACAGGAAGAUUUCAGAAUAAAACAACCAAAUGCUGUUUCCAGCCCUGUUCUAGGCUUGGAGGGUGUUGGGAGACCCUCUCUUGUCUUACAGGGAGAAGAGGAAAAGAGCAGUGGCAGCUUCUAGGGACUGAAUGUCCUGUGAUCCGGAUGCUCAGUGAUGUGUGGUGUGACACCGUGACCAGAGUUCAACUGUUAUCUGGGAAAAUUCAUUCUGCUGCAGCUCUAAGAGAGCAAGCUGCCGGCCUCCAUCGUGGUUGGGUGCUGGUGGAUCUCAAUUAUAUUCUGUGAAAGGUAGUGAGGAUACCUGAGGCCUUUUCUAGAGGUCACAGUGACAUAAACAACCUUUGGUUGCCUACAAGAUAGCUGUAUUUGAUGUACUUGUACCUAUUUGUUCUGUUUCUUGUAUGUUGAAACAAACAAGUUGCUUUAUUCAAUUGGGUAGUAAGAAUUUCUAACAACAAGUCUGGGGUUCAAAUUCUGUACUGUUCUUCAUUGGAACAGCCAGAGAGAAACUAGUGGUUUCCAGCAGGGACUGUACAGCCCUCUUGAGAGUCCCAACUAUUGUGAUACUGAGAGAGUUAUUUCUUGUUUCUUGAUUUCUUUAAUUUGAAUUAUUUCACUCUUGAAAUAGUUAGUUAAUUAUUCUGCUGGCGAGCAGGAGAGAAGCCCUGAUUUCAUAGCUCAGUAGUUAUAGCACUCACACGGGCUGUGGAAAACCUCUGUUUGUCUCUGCUGCAGUUAAUAUUUAUUCACAUACAGUUAAAUCAGUCCAGUAGAAAAGAUGGAGAGACCAUUCCCAAAGCACUCACUGGCUCAUGGAGUGAAACCUACCUGCUGAAUGCAAGGAUAAGAAGGUCUGGAAUCUGAAUCUGGUUCUGUUUAGAUGAGCUCUUUGAUCCAUAGUUCAGUGAUUAUUGCAGGGCUGCUGCUCUCCAGUUUCGAUGACCAUCUGUAGAUAUCAGAAAUGCUUCUCAGCUGAGUUGUUAUCAAAGCUAUUUUGUUUGUAAGAAUAAAAUCUAUUUUGCCAAAUAAGUGCUUUCCA